rnacentral:rRNA from 1 species
GAUGAACGCUGGCGGCGUGCCUAAUACAUGCAAGUCGAGCGAACAGACGAGGAGCUUGCUCCUCUGACGUUAGCGGCGGACGGGUGAGUAACACGUGGAUAACCUACCUAUAAGACUGGGAUAACUUCGGGAAACCGGAGCUAAUACCGGAUAAUAUAUUGAACCGCAUGGUUCAAUAGUGAAAGACGGUUUUGCUGUCACUUAUAGAUGGAUCCGCGCCGCAUUAGCUAGUUGGUAAGGUAACGGCUUACCAAGGCAACGAUGCGUAGCCGACCUGAGAGGAUGAUCGGCCACACUGGAACUGAGACACGGUCCAGACUCCUACGGGAGGCAGCAGUAGGGAAUCUUCCGCAAUGGGCGAAAGCCUGACGGAGCAACGCCGCGUGAGUGAUGAAGGUCUUCGGAUCGUAAAACUCUGUUAUUAGGGAAGAACAAAUGUGUAAGUAACUAUGCACGUCUUGACGGUACCUAAUCAGAAAGCCACGGCUAACUAC